rnacentral:rRNA from 1 species
AGUGGGUAGUCCGCACGAGCGCACCUCACUUUUAGUUGCCAUCAUUAAGUUGGGCACUCUGAAAGAACUGCCAGUGAUAGCUGGAGGAAGGUGGGGAUGACGUCAAGUCCUCAUGGCCCUUACGUGUUGGGCUACACACGUGCUACAAUGGUAUCUACAACAGGAAGCAAAACAGCGAUGUUAAGCAAAUCCCAAAAAGAUACCUCAGUUCGGAUUGCACUCUGCAACUCGAGUGCAUGAAGCUGGAAUUACUAGUAAUCGUGGAUCAGCGUGCCACGGUGAAUACGUUCCCGGGUCUUGUACACACCGCCCGUCACACCAUGGGAGUUGGUUCUACCUUAAGGCAAGGUUUUAAACCCUUGACCACGGUAUAGUCAGCGACUGGGGUGAAGUCGUAACAAGGUAGCCGUAGGGGAACCUGCGGCUGGAUUACCUCCUUUCU